GUUUUCGAUGUCUGGGCAAGGUGACGCGUUGUGUACUCCAGCGAGACACUUAAUUUCACGUUGCUCCCGUCUACUCAGCUGGCAAAAAUGAGUA